AUGGCCAUAUCAUGUUGAAACACUGUUUCCCAUACAAUCACCGAAGUUAAGCAAUAUUGAGACUGGUCAGUACCUAGAUGGGUGACGUUUGGAAAUAUCACAUGCUGUAAG